CGUUAGUAAAGGCCAGAGGUAGGAUAGCAGAAGGCCUGGUCAGAGCACUGGCAGGUGGCCUGUGCAGGGAGGAGCGGGAGGAAGCCCUCCCUUCCAGACACAGAGCAGGCCAGGGCUGUGGAGCGGCUGAAUAUUUCAUUGAUGGAAAAUUGGAUGUGGCCAUGGUACUUAGGAUGUGGAUUCUAAUUUCAUGGCUGGGUGUACCCAGAUGGCUGAUUAGGCCACAGGAGAGAGGCUCCCUCCCCAUGCCUGCUUUCCUGGCCACAGUGAGGAUGCAGAUACUGACCUUUCUUUCCCAGUGAGGUCAGCAGGUGUAUGUGCUCUCGGUCUAGGAAGAUGAACAACCCCCCCAGCCAAACCCCAUCACACGAUCGGCCCCAGUCUUACCCCAGCUCCAUUAUCCAGCGGACACACAUUUCAAAGGAAAUUGCACAAAGGAAAUAGGGACAUCUCUGCCCUUUGAGACAGGUUGGGGAAACAGACCCCUACCAGGUCUCUAACUGUGGAGACCACGAAGUGCUGGGCCUGAGCUUCACAGAGGAGCUGCCACCUGUGCUCACACAUUCCCCAGACAGAGAGAAAGGGGAAGCUGCUAACCAACACUCAAGGAGGACUCACUCUGGGCUAGGCACCGUGCUGGCAGCUUGUUCUAUACUACGAGUUUUAAUCCUCACAGUUACUAUAAAAAGGAGAUAUUGUAAUUCCUAAUUGCAUAGGCAAAAGGCAUUCCAGUAGGAACGUGUGCAAAAGAACGAUGUGCGAGAACUUGGGAUGGUGGGGAUCAUUCGGCACUUUGGAGAGGCUGGAGUGCGGAGGUGCAAGGGGGGCUGGCAGGAAAUGAGCCUAGCAAGGUUGGCUGGGGCUCUGCAUGUCAGGAUGACACACUUGGACCUUGUCCACUUGGCUUUGGAGAACCUUUGAAGGGUAGUGAAAAAGGUGGGGCCAAAUGUCCUCUUUCUCCCUUCCACCCUGUUGAUGCCAUAUGCAGUCGACACAUUUUGACUGCAUACCUUUCAGUGAGCCGGGCGCUGUUCUGGGCCCUGGGGAACCAGCCACGAACAACACAAGGGCCUCCUCUCGCAGAGCAAUAGAGAAGAGAGUAGUGGAGGCAGACAGACAAUCACCUAGUAAGCAAAUACGUAGAUAAAAGAGACGGGCUUCCAAUAGUGACAGGUGCUUUGGCAAAACAAAAACACAGAACUGGGACACAGAACCAUGGGGGAGGGGAAAAGACUGCUUGAGUUGGGACAAACAGGGAAGGGCUCUGGGAAGAGAUGACAUUUGAGCUGGGACCUGAAGGGUGAGGGGGCGGACAGGAGAAGACAUGAGGAAGGGCAUUCCAGAAGGAGGCACUUGCAAAGCCCUGAGGCAAGAACUAGUUGAAUGGGUUCAAGAAGCAUGAAGUGGGGCCGGGGAGGGAGUGGAGUCAGAUGGGAAGACCCAUAGGCCAAGGUCUAUUCUAAAAUUCCAAGGAGUUGGAAUUUUAUUCUUCAACACUCAGCUCAAGACCCAUAUCCAUCCCUACCCUGCAAGGUUGUCCCUACUGACCCGGCCUUCAGGGUAAGUCUCGGAAGCCCCUUCAGCCCCCUCAUAGCGCUUGUUUGAGCACCUCCCGCAGUGCCUCAUCUGCCUCCCUCUGCUUUCCCUGAGAGCUUGUGGACAUAGGACCCCAGGCCCUCUCCCACAGUCUCCCUCUACCCAACCUUCAGGGACUCAGCCUGCCCUCCAUGCAUAGGAAAUGUAAUACAGUCCUGCUGAGCUAAACUAGAGCUAGAGCUGGCCUUGCUGCACCAGGUGGCAGCCACCAGGCUAUGGGAAGUACCCCCAGAGAAUCGAUGGCACCAUGAGGGGAUGGCACUGCUGCCUUAGGCGGUGGGGGGAGCUGGGGCUUCCUCGUGCUCCCCGGAGUAAAUGAAGCCCAGAUGGCGUGGUCAUUGUCCUCAGACUUUGGGCUAUUAGGAGGUCUAUUAAGGAUGCAGUAACUGAGAGGAGGCAGAGACCACAGUUUUCUUUCCUGGGUUUGAGCAAAACACUCAGGGAAUUUGGUGUCUGGGUAUUUUCCAGCAAGGUUCUUGCUUUACAGAGGGAUGGCUCUCCAGCCUCCUAUCUGGGCAGAAAUGGCAACAUUGGGGUGGUCACCCUGGGAACAGCAGGGUGGGCUCCUUUCUGCCUGGAGUGUUGGGACUCAUAGCUGUCUGCAUUUUCCCGUGCCAACUUGAUCAUUUUUCCUCAAAGAGGAAGCCCCUGAGCCCCAUCAGGAAGACAGAGAUGUGCUUCUGAGCAGUGUCAUCGGGAGUGAGAAGGAUAGCCACUGUGAGAGAGGACCCAGGUCUGCUGUAGGAGAAUCAGGCCUUGGUAGUCAGACUGGUGUUUGUCCUGACAUGAAGUAGGAAGAGGUGGAAUGCUGGCAGGGAGGUUUAUCAUGCCCCAGCCUCUGGACCAUGGAGCUGGAGAAACAGAGAAGGCUGAAGUACAAACCUGGAAAGCCCAAGGAGUGAUCUCCUCAAAAAUGAGCUGAAUGUCAGGACUGGAGCAGAUGGGCGGGGGCCUGCAGGAGUCAUGGCAACAACCUGGGACCCUGGAGAAUAAUUUCAUAUCCACCUCACUUGCUUAGAAGACCUCCUUCCAUCUUUCCAUUCUCCUUCGGAUAUUCCCUAAAGCCCAGCUUUCUGAGAAGUGACAAGAAAGGAAAGUGUUUUUCUAAUUUCACAGAACAGAGCUUUACUCCCGGCCAGAGCCUCAGAUGAGGCAGAACUUGAGGCCAUGCGUGUUAAAGAGUGCAAAUCCAUCCUCACGAAAUUUCCAGAGGUUCCAUCUCAAGCAUCCUUAGGCAAGUAAAGAGGAAUUCAGUGCUCUUCCCCGCCUGCUCUCUCUGCCUCUCUCCCCCCACACACCCUCCCUCGCACCCAUUUCAGAAUCCUCUCUUUUUCGGCUGCAGUCCCUGCCUCCUCCCCCUCCCUCCCCUCCCUUCUCAGCAGGAGCACACCAGGACAAGGAGAUGCUACUACUACUGGAGCCUCCCAGCCAGGAGAACGGAUUUCUCAGAAUAAGCAGUUAAUACAGACCUGGCCACAAAGUUGUCACUGUGAGCACGCUUCUCAGUCUCCCCAUGUCUAAUGUAACCCAAGAAAUGAUGCAGUUGCCUCUAGUGGCCUUCACCCAAACUGUGCCCCAGGGUGCUCUGGGGAGCUGGCUCUGCUGUUUUAGGAGAAGGCUAACUCACUGUUUGUGGCAGGGGGCUGCCGAUAUGGUCAGUUCCCAGGGAUCAGCUGCUCAGGGGAGCUUGAGAAGGGCACCUACAAAACAUAAGUGGGCUGCAGAGAGUCUGGAAAACACCUGAAACUGAAUGCAUAUGUUUGUGGGGACCUUCUUCUAGGAGAUGAGGACCUAUUUCUUUUGUCGGAUUAUCAGAGGAGUCAGAGACCCUCAAAAUGGUUACCAGUUUGGGGUGUCAGAUAAAACAAGAAAUUGAAAUGUUUUUUGAUCCCCAAUGAGUUUGAGUUUUAUGCAAUUCCUUGUAUAAGAGAAAAGCCUGAGUCCAUGGAAAUCAGGUGGAACAUCCUGAAUAAUAUACAGUUCCUUGGAUAGCCACCGAAGCAGGAGACAUGAUGUCACUUUCAGAAAGGAGACUGCUUAGCAGUCUGAAGUGAGAGGAAGAGGAAUGAGGAGAAUCGCUGGCCUCCAACCCCCAAGGAGGGGCUGGAGCACCUUUCUGGGACACAGUCUAGACUCUGCCCCAAACAUGCAGCUCCAAAAGACAUGCUGUGCAGGUUCCAAGCUGCCAAAUAAGAGGUCCUUAGAGAGAAUCCACCCCAAGCAGCCCAGAUGGUAUCUGGGUAUCCUGUGCCCUACUCGGCAGCCCAAAGUCUAGAGCCCACUGCAGAGCCCGCUGCAAGGCCAGAGCAAAGACAGCUCAAGUGCCACCAAGCCCAGCCUUCCCUGAUCACCCAUGGAAGGGGGAAGGGAGAACAGGGGCCUCCACUCAUCCACCCACCAGCUUCUGAGUCCCUUUAGCUCUUGGCAUGGUAAUUAACGGUCAGGAAGUUAUGCAUCAGCCUCAGCAAGCUAACAUGGCAGGAGCUCCCUCCUGACAGCAGAGCUAAUAAGAAAUUUGCUAAUGCAAUUUAUCACUUUAAAAAGCCAUAUGUCGGUGGGGAUGAGCACUUCUCUGCAGCAGCCAGUGUAAUUGUCAGAGCAGAGCAGCAAGCAGCUCUCGGAAGGGGGUGAGGAUGAUGUCUUCACUAAAUCAGUGGUGCAAUGCAGCAAGGGGCUGGGAGGAGGGGUGCAGUGCUGGGCCAAGGUCCCAGCCCUCCUGCUCCUGGGAAGCCAAUAUCUGCUGGCCUGUUCCAAGGACCCGUUAGGAACCAGAUGGGCCCUGAGCAGCAGCCCCUGCUGCCUUUGAGCUACCUGAACCUGCACUUUGGUUCCUGCUGCAGUAUUAAAAUAAGAAGCAACUCUGCCUGCAGUGACAACUGAUCUAAGUCUCAGCCAGCGAGUGUCAAUACACCAGACCCCAUUCCAGUUCCUGGAGGCGGUAGGGCUGAUGCCAUGUGCACAUUUGCUCUUUCUCUCCCAAACCCCUGCAAUGACGUCACCCAGGACAAAAGCUACCAGUCCUGAGUCUGAGGCAGGGACAGAUUAGAAAUCCACCUCAGGCCAAAAAGCUCUCUGCUCCCAGUUUAGACAAAAGGCUGGAAUAUCCAGUGUUUGGCAAAAACAAAGAGUGGUUUCAGGCCAGGCAUAGUGGCUCAUGCUUAUAAUCCUAGCACUUUGGGAA